rnacentral:rRNA from 1 species
CCGAGACAGGUGCUGCAUGGCUGUCGUCAGCUCGUGCCGUGAGGUGUGGGUUAAGUCCCGCAACGAGCGCAACCCUAUUGCCAGUUGCUACCAGGUAAUGCUGGGCACUCUGGUGAGACUGCCCCGGUUAACGGGGAGGAAGGUGGGGACGACGUCAAGUCAUCAUGGCCCUUACGCCUAGGGCUACACACGUACUACAAUGGCGCAUACAAAGGGCAGCGAUACCGCGAGGUGGAGCCAAUCCCAAAAAGUGCGUCCCAGUCCGGAUUGCAGUCUGCAACUCGACUGCAUGAAGUUGGAAUCGCUAGUAAUUCGAGAUCAGCAUGCUCGGGUGAAUGCGUUCCCGGGCCUU